rnacentral:rRNA from 1 species
AUUGAACGCUGGCGGCAUGCCUUACACAUGCAAGUCGAACGGUAACGGGCCUUCGGGUUCCGACGAGUGGCGAACGGGUGAGUAAUAAAUCGGAACGUGCCCGAUCGUGGGGUAUAACGAGGCGAAAGCUUUGCUCAUAUCGCAUACGAUCUACGGAUGAAAGCAGGGGACCGCAAGGCCUUGCGCGGACGGAGCGGCCGAUAGCAGAGUAGUUAGUUGGUGGGAUAAAAGCUUACCAAGCCGACGAUCUGUAGCUGGACUGAGAGGAUGAUCAGCCACACUGGGAGUGAGACACGGACCAGACUCCUACGGGAGGCAGCAGUGGGGAAUUUUGGACAAUGGGCGGAAGCAUGAUCCAGCCAGGCCGCGUGCAGGAUGAAGGCCUUCGGGUUGUAAACUGCUUUUGUACGGAACGAACAGCCUUCUUUUAAUACAGGAGGGUCAUGACGGUACCGUAAGAAGAAGCACCGGCUAACUACGUG